rnacentral:rRNA from 1 species
GACGAACGCUGGCGGCGUGCUUAACACAUGCAAGUCGAACGGAAAGGCCCUGCUUGCAGGGUACUCGAGUGGCGAACGGUUGAGUAACACGUGGGUGAUCUGCCCUGCACUUCGGGAUAAGCCUGGGAAACUGGGUCUAAUACCGGAUAGGAGCCAUUUUUAGUGUGAUGGUUGGAAAGUUUUUUCGGUGUAGGAUGAGCUCGCGGCCUAUCAGCUUGUUGGUGGGGUAAUGGCCUACCAAGGCGGCGACGGGUAGCCGGCCUGAGAGGGUGGACGGCAACAUUGGGACUGAGAGACGGCCCAGACGCCGACGGGAGGCAUCAGGGGGGAAUAUUGAACAAUGGGCGCAAGCCUGAUGCAGCGACGCCGCGUGGGGGAUGACGGCCUUCGGGUUGUAAACGCCUUUCGCUAGGGACGAAGCUUUUUGUGACGGUACCUAGAUAAGAAGCACCGGCUAACUACGUG